AGCGAACGCUGGCGGCAGGCUUAACACAUGCAAGUCGAGCGGGCAUCCUUGUGGUGUCAGCGGCUGACGGGUGAGUAACGCGUGGGAACGUGCCCUUCGGUUCGGAAUAACUCAGGGAAACUUGAGCUAAUACCGGAUACGUGCGAGAGCAGAAAGGUUUAUCUGCCGAAGGAUCGGCCCGCGUCUGAUUAGCUAGUUGGUGAGGUUAUGGCUCACCAAGGCGACGAUCAGUAGCUGGUCUGAGAGGAUGAUCAGCCACACUGGGACUGAGACACGGCCCAGACUCCUACGGGAGGCAGCAGUGGGGAAUAUUGGACAAUGGGGGCAACCCUGAUCCAGCCAUGCCGCGUGAGUGAUGACGGCCUUAGGGUUGUAAAGCUCUUUUCUCCGGGACGAUAAUGACGGUACCGGAGGAAUAAGCCCCGGCUAACUUCGUG
rnacentral:rRNA from 1 species